UACGGAGGGUGCAAGCGUUAUCCGGAUUUACUGGGUUUAAAGGGUGCGCAGGCGGAUAUGUAAGUCAGUGGUGAAAUCUUUGGGCUUAACCCGAAAAUUGCCAUUGAUACUAUAUAUCUUGAAUGCUGUGGAGGUAAGCGGAAUAUGUCAUGUAGCGGUGAAAUGCUUAGAGAUGACAUAGAACACCUAUUGCGAAGGCAGCUUACUACGCAGAGAUUGACGCUCAUGCACGAAAGCGUGGGGAGCGAACAGG
rnacentral:rRNA from 1 species